GGUUUGGAUCCUGGCUCUGAUUGAACGCUGGCGGGAUGCUUUAUACAUGCAAGUCGAACGGCAGCACGGACUUCGGGUCUGGUGGCGAGGGCGAACGGUGAGUAAUGUAUCGGAACGUGCCUAGUAGCGGGGAUAACUACGCGAAAGCGCAGCUGGCUUGCCGCCAUUGCCCUUCGGGGGAAAGUAGACCUUCGGCUCGGGACCGAUGAGCGGCCGAUAUCGGAUUGAUGGUUGGUGGGGUAACGGCUCACCAAGGCGACGAUCCGUAGCUGGUUUGAGAGGACGACCAGCCACACUGGGACUGAGACACGGCCCAGACUCCGCUGGAGGCAGGGAAUUUUGGACAGCGGCAGAAACUUCGAUCCAGCCAUCCUGCGUGUGUGCGAUGAAGGCCUUCGUCAGGAAGCACUUUGGCAGGAGAACGGCACGGGAUAAUAUCCGUGCAACUGACGGUACCUGCAGAAUAAGCACCGGCUAACUACGUGCCAGCAGCCGCGGUAAUAUUGUGGUGCAGCGUUAAUCGGAAUUAUUGGGCGGCAGCGUGCAGGCGGUUCGGAAAGAAAGAUGAAAUCCCAGAGCUUAACUUUGGAACUGCAUUUUUAACUACCGAGCUUUGUAGAGCAGCCAGAGGAGGUGGAAUUCCAUGUGUAGCAGUGAAAUGCGUAGAUAUGCGGAGAAACACCGAUGGCGAAGGCAGCUCUGGAUAACACUGACGCUCAUGCACGAAAGCGUGGGGAGCAACAGGAUUAGAUACCCUGGUAGUCCACGCCUCAAACGACGUCAACUAGCUGUUGGGGCCUUCGGCCUUGGUAGCGCAGCUAACGCGUGAAGUUGACCGCCUGGGGAGCAUUACUAAUGCAAGAUUAAAACUCAGCGAAUUGACGGGGACCCGCACAAGCGGUGGAUGAUGUGGAUUAAUUCGAUGCAACGCGAAAACCCUACCUACCCUUGACAUGUUCAACCCUGAAGAGAUUUGGGAGUGCUCGCAAGAGAACCGGAACACAGGUGCUGCAUGGCUGUCGUCAGCUCGUGUCGUGGAGAUGUUGGGUUAAGUCCCGCAACGAGCGCAACCCUUGUCAUUAGUUGCUACGAAAGGGCACUCUAAUGAGACUGUUGCACAAACCGGAGGAAGGUGGGGAUGACGUCAAGUCCUCUCGCGGCCCUUGCGCGAAGCCACACGUCGGGCGCAUCGUCGGGACAGAGGGUCGCCAACCCGCGAGGGGGAGCCAAUCCCAGAACCUGAUCGUAGUCCGGAUCGCAGUCUGCAACUCGACUGCGUAAAGUCGGAAUCGCUAGUAAUCGCGGAUCAGCAUGUCGUGGUGAAUACGUUCCUGGUCUUGUACACACCGCCCGUCACACCAUGGAGUGGGUUUUACCAGAAGUAGUUAGCCUAACCGUGGGCAGGCGAUUACCACGGUAGGAUUCAUACCGUGUGAAGUCGUAACAAGGUAA
rnacentral:rRNA from 1 species